GACAGGAAGCAGGGAGAGAAAGAGGAAGCAACUAGGGACCAAGGAUCCCCUUCGAAAGCAUGUCCCCAGUGACUCGCUUUCUCCAGAGAGACCACAUCUCCUAAAGUACUCAUAUCUCCCAAGGGCUGAGAGAAGAGGUGGAGUUUUUUGCUAAGCCCUGGCUGGCCUGGAACUCAUUGUGUAGAACAUACCGACCCCAAGCUAACAGAGAUCUGCUGGCCUCUGAAUGCUGGGAUUCAAGGCACUGUGGGAGCCUCGAAGCUACCGUGCAGACAUGACCAAAUCCAAGAAUCACACCACACACAACCAGUCCCGCAAAUGGCACAGAAAUUAAGCAAUCCCAGUCACAAAGACAUGAAUCUCUUAAGGGAGUUGACCCCAAGUUCCUGAGGAACAUGCGCUUUGCCAAGAAGCACAACGAGAAAGGUCUGAAGAAGAUGCAAACCAACAAUGCAAAGGCAGUGGAUGGAUGCAGUAGGUGCAGAGGCCAUCAAGGCCCUUGUGAAGCCUCAGGCUGCCAAGCCCAAGAUGCCAAAGGGCCCCAGCCGCAAACUCAGCCUUCUGGCUUUCAUUGCUCACCCCAGAUUUGACCUUGCAUGGCCAAGGGUUGUAGGCUCUGCCAGCCAAAGCCCAAGAUCCCAACCGAGGCAGAGGCCGCAGCUCAUGCUAAGGCCCAAGCUUCAGUUCCAGCUUGGGCUUCCAAAGGUGCCCAGGUCCCUUUGAAGGCCCCAUUUUUAUAAUAGUUUCUGUCAAUGUGAAGAUAGAUGGACUGCUGUGGCACACUAUUUGCAGAUGGCCACUCUCCUAUGCUGUUUUAACAAAUAAAUUUGAGGCAAGACAUGUUAAAAAAAGAAAACAAAAUAAAUCCUACCUAAUAAUGAAAAAGCUUUUAGGUCAUAUAUGGAGGUGAACAAUGAGAGGUUAUUAAAGAGACUAAAGACAG